CUUCAAUUGCAGAUUGUUGCUAUACUCCAUAAUGCCAUUAAUUUACAUUAAUGUCAGUCUUUCCUUACUAGGCUCUUAUUAAUUAGCUGUUCCUUGACACAUAUUCUGAUGUAGACUUUUUGUAAGUCAUUAAAGUCCUCUGUGUGGAGACCUCCUCAAAGACCUUUUAGUUUGUGUAUAAUUGACAAACCAGAUGACAGCUUUUACUGUUGAUCAUAAAACUGCAGCCAAUUCACUCGGGCACUGGAUUUAUGUUUUGAAACCUUUCCUUUUAACAUUUUUGUAGAGAAAAAAUUUAAAUGCAGGUACAUUUAUUUAUUAGAUAGUCUAAAAUAUGCCCUUUUCUGCAAGGUCAAGUUCAGAAGAGUUUUUAAUCCAAUGAACAAUUACUUUUUGAGAUUUUGUAAUCAGAAAUCCUCCUUAGAAGCACCCACUCCAUAUGAAUUCUCUUAAAAACUCUCAUGUUUUAAAAUAAUUUUUCUGAACUAGUAUUUAAAGGCACAGAUUUUCAUGUGUUUAAUAUGCCAUCUCACUGAGUGUAGUCCCAAGCAUCCAGGGACUGAAAACACCCACUUCUUGGAAAAAGGCAACAUCCUUAGGAGGCAGUGAAGGCAGAGCUUGUCAAUCAAGAGUACUCUGGGCUUCAAAGUGCCUGACUUCUGGGUUGGUUUCAUGUAAGCUUAUUACUACAUUCCAAUCACAGUCAUUGCUUCAUUCCUUUAUUCACUCAAAAAUACUUACUGAGCACUAACUCUAUAUCCAGUAUUAAUAGCUAGAUAUCAGUGAGCAAGAGAAAAAAAAAUCUACCUUCAUGCAACUUAGUUUCCAAGGUGAAGAGGAGAUGGACAAUAUGCAAGAAAUCUUAUAGAAGUCUGGGUGAUAAUUAAGUGGGGAGGGAUGCUUAAUGCAGUUUGUCCUUUUUCUUUGUUCUUCCACUCUUUUCACAGCUGGAGGGUCAGCAUGGGGAUAUAGCAGACAUCUUGCAUUCAUGAAGAUGAAAGAUGCUCUUAAUUAAGGGUCCAGAAGCAGAUAAAGAUACUCAUUAAGGUUCCAGUGCAGAAAUCUUGGGUCUUAAUAAUGCUGUGGGACCACCACGCCAACUUAUAACUAGACUUCCUACUUCCUGUCUCUAGCCCUCUCUGUGUAUGUGAAAAAUAAACAUUUCUUCCUAUUUAGUGAAGAUGCUAUUUGUAUUUUUGUUACAUGAAUUUAAACAGAAUCCCAAUGCUUAUAAUUUUUGCUUCAGUGAUUUUUUUUCUUUUUUAAUUCUCAAACUUCGGAGAUCUGCAACAUGGCUGUGGGCACAGAGAGAUCAAGUCUCUGACCUCUUCAGCUGCGCGGGCAUAGGGAGUCGCAAACCAUCUAAAUGCUGUUUGCUCAGGAUCACUAGGCAAUGCUGAGCUGACGUGGAUCUGGGGCGAACAGUCUGGGCCUCUCAGAACACACACAGAGCCCGGAUCAGCUGAAUUCAAGCUCCCGUUCGCCUCCUUCUAGCAGACAAACUGCUGUGACUCAGCACUAAAGGAUCCUGCUGAAACAACUGGUCGACCCUUCUGAUCCUAUGGAGGUUAAUGCCAACCGAGCCUUCAUAGGCAGUGGCCACAGGAUUGAAACCGGGCUUGGGAGAGCCAGUCAGGACCCACCCGUUGCAUUCGUCACCUGGCAAAGGGAACGAACUGUCGCCUUUUGCAUGGGAUACCACCAUGGCAGAGAACUGACGUCACCAGAAUGCGGCGGAGGAGAUAACUCCAUUGAAACCGGCGGUGACAGUGACUUCUUCCCUUCCCUUUUAAUACCUUUCCUCCCAAGCAUCAAAUAAAUUUAUAGGAGUAAACAGUAACUCAGCAGUCAAACAGAACAAGAAGUAACAUGAGCAGCAUGAAAAAGCAAGGAAGAAAAGGAGUACAAACAAUGCAGGACAGCCUAAAUAUUCAGGAGGACCUAGAGGCAUCAGAAAAAUGGUCAAAUAAAGAACUCAAGGAAUACCUUAGACAGAUGGAAUGGAACCUUAAAGAGGAUAUGAGACAGCAAAUUCAAACANAUAAAAGAAGAAAUUAAGCAUCUUUAUCAGGAGAUAGAGAUUAUUAAAAAAAAUCAAACAAUAAUUCUAGAAAUGAAGGAAACUGUAAACCAAAUUAAAAACUCAAAUGAGAGUAUCACUAACAGAGUGGAGCAAGUAGAAGCCAGAACGUCAGAUAAUGAAGACAAAAUAUAUCAUCUUGUAAUUCUCAAACUUCUGCCUGCUAUUUUCUUUUUUCUCAUUUCUGGAGGUAACAGUCCUGGUCUGGCAUUUCUAAUGCCUGUACUUCAAGGUUUUCUUCAGAGCCAUGGUAGAGGAUUUUCUUGUCUGUCCUUAGUAUUCCUACAGGGUGCCCUAGUUUGUAACAGUAAGAUGGCUCCUGGGUUUGAGCAUGGCCAUGGGAUAAAAUCAAGUUACCCAGCCACUUUAGGAUUGUGUCUUUCUCCCUAAUUUCAUUAGCUCUGUUGCUUCACUUUGUGAAAUAACACUAUGAAAUUGCUGUUUGUUUGGUUUUUUUUCCUAGAGUAAGAUUGUUUCUACAUCCGUUGUUUUGUCAUUCAAAGUUGCAAGAAAUGAACUUCUGGGGCCAGAAUGUAGUUACCCUCAAGAAGGUAUAUUCAUAAUAUCAAAAAUGUUAUUUUUUUAGUGGAUGAUAUGAAACUUGGAGUUCAUUUUCAAGUUAGUUGUCUCUAGGCUGAUACAAUGUAUUAAUGAGCAGAAAUGGAGGUGGAGAGAGAAAGCCCCUGAGAAACCAAACUAACCUUCUGAAUUUUCAAAUUCAGGGAAUACUUGGAUGGUUUAACGGUCUUAUCAAUCUUGUUUUGUCCUAUGUCUCCACCAGAAAUUCCCUCAGAAGUUGAGUGAGCUUGGAAUCCUCCUUGAGAAUUUUAUCUCUCCAGGCAUUAAACUCUUUAAGAAUAUUAUCCUUUAGAACCAUUUUUAUAGUUUAAAUGAUGAAAUACAUCUUUAC
rnacentral:lncRNA from 1 species